AUGGACAAACCACUCCUCAUCCAUCUAAGAAGAAACAACCUCGAUGUCUCGCCUGAUUACAAACCUCGGACCUCCUUUCGGACCCAGCGGCCGGACACCGGCCGGCUGGAUAAACAGGGAGGGAGCAGACAAGGAGGGAGCAGCAGGGGUCCGGCGCGAAGAAGCAGAACAUAUGUUACCCAACGUGUGGGGAUCCAGGACCAAGGGGUCGGAGCGGCGGAUAGAGGUGGCUGGGAUUACGGGCAACGAACAACGAUGUCUCUCACGGUGGCGGUGAUGUGCAUCCUGUUUAGUUUAGUGCCCGCAAAUCCCCCUGCGUACCGUGGUAAAAAAAAGGCCCCACGAUUAUGUUCGCCGCAACCGCCGCACUCGUUGCCCCUCAUCCUCGGCAGCGAGAGGCACGGGGGAGCUGCCGCCGGUCAAGAUGGGCGCCGGGGCGCCGCGCUCUACCUCGGCACCAACGCCCUCUGCGACGUCGAGGGCGGCCACCGGGCCAUCGUCUUCGACCGCCUCGACGCUGGGGAUCGAGGACAAGGUCUAGGUAUCCCGAGGGGACUCGCUCAUCAUCCCGUGGAUUCGAGAGGCCGGUCAUCCAGGACGUCCGCGCAUGACCCAAUUUCGUGGAGAGCACCUCCGGAAGAAGGGGUCUCCAGACGUCUUCUCCCUGUCGUCAUCGUCCUUCCUGCUGCCAGCUCCGCCCUUCUCCGCCUUAUCUCCACGGCAACGAUUCUGCUCCAUCCAUUGUUGAUGUUGCUAAUGUUGUUGUACAUACUACAUAAUGUUAUGACGGUGUUAAAUUCUGAAAUUCAAGCCUCCCAUUGUGGAGGCUGGCCUGUAGCUCGUGUGCACGGAGGAGAAGCACACUUCACUGAGAAGUUGUUGCCACUAUCCUCGGUGCCACCGCCAGUGACGAAACUUGGUGAUGUUGAGAGCAUGGAACUGAAAUUGACAUCAGAAAUAGACUUGUUAAGUGUUUGUGUUGCCACCAAUCAAAAGCUGGGUUGCAUUAGUGGAAAAUAUGCUGGAAAGAGAGUGUUCAUCCCUAUGAUCCCUUUGGCGCCCUCGGAGGACAUUUCGCUUCCUUUCAAGUUGAUGAAGAGGAAACAGUUCCCUGUUUGUCAGAGUUAUGCAAAGACCAUUAAUAUAGCCCAGGGGCAAACCAUCUCAACUGUCGGUAUGUACCUUCCGGAGUAUGUACUCUCGCAUGCCCAGGUUUAUCUUGCACUGUCAAGAGCUUUUUGUCUGGUCGCACCUAUAGGCAGUAUAGAGGAUCUACUCUCACUAACUGACCAACAUCUGAACGACUUCGACUGCUGCAUACAAGUCCAGCUAAGCACGGUGCAAGUUGCAUUUAUCAGACUGCACCUUGUUAUCAGAUUGCCUGUACAAAGACUGAAUUUUGUUGGCUGGUACUUGCGCAGCAAGGGUGCUACAUCAAAGCAUUUUAUUGAUUUGUAA
rnacentral:rRNA from 1 species